UACGGAGGGUGCGAGCGUUGUCCGGAAUCACUGGGCGUAAAGGGCGCGUAGGCGGCCUGAUAAGUAGGGGGUGAAAUCCUGCGGCUUAACCGCAGGGCUGCCUUCUAGACUGUCAGGCUAGAGCACAGUAGAGGCAGGUGGAAUUCCCGGUGUAGCGGUGGAAUGCGUAGAGAUCGGGAAGAACACCCGUGGCGAAGGCGGUUCUCUGGGACGGUACUGACGCUGAGACGCGAAAGCGUGGGGAGCGAACAGG
rnacentral:rRNA from 1 species